CUUUCUUUGCUGGCGACCGGCGCACGGGUGAGUAACACGUAUCCAACCUGCCCUUUACUCGGGGAUAGCCUUUCGAAAGAAAGAUUAAUACCCGAUAGCAUAAUGAUUCCGCAUGGUUUCAUUAUUAAAGGAUUCCGGUAAAGGAUGGGGAUGCGUUCCAUUAAGUUGUUGGUGAGGUAACGGCCCACCAAGCCUUCGAUGGAUAGGGGUUCUGAGAGGAAGGUCCCCCACAUUGGAACUGAGACACGGUCCAA
rnacentral:rRNA from 1 species